AUGGCGCAGGAGACAAGAACACUGUCAGUUGCACAGUUCAAUUUGCGCAAACUGCUCAAGAUUCGGCUGGUGGGGUUGGCGGCAAUUGAACGGGCAAGAAGGAGACAAGUGUCCAGGGUGCUCUGGCUGCGAGCAGGCGACGCCAACACGAAGUUCUUCCACGCCAAGUGUUGCUCCAUAAGGCGCAAAAACUUCAUCCAUACAAUUCAGAGCGACGAUCGGUGUGCCACGACGCAUGGAGACAAGGAGCAGAUUAUCCAUGAUCAAUUUAGCAGAAUGAUGACAGGAGGCACGGGGCGACGCGUGACUCCGAACUGGAGAGCGCUGCAGCUGCCAAGGGUUGAAGCGGCUGGGUUGGAUAAUCCAUUCACGGAGGGAGAGCUC
rnacentral:rRNA from 1 species